rnacentral:rRNA from 1 species
GGCUAAUACCGGAUGUGCCCUUGGGUGAAAGAUUAAUUGCCUGAAGAUGAGCUCGCGUCUGAUUAGCUAGUAGGUGGGGUAAGAGCCUACCUAGGCGACGAUCAGUAGCUGGUCUGAGAGGAUGAUCAGCCACACUGGGACUGAGACACGGCCCAGACUCCUACGGGAGGCAGCAGUGGGGAAUUUUCCGCAAUGGGCGAAAGCCUGACGGAGCAAUACCGCGUGAGGGAGGAAGGCUCUUGGGUCGUAAACCUCUUUUCUCAAGGAAGAAGAAAGUGACGGUACUUGAGGAAUCAGCAUCGGCUAACUCCGUGCCAGCAGCCGCGGUAAUACGGAGGAUGCAAGCGUUAUCCGGAAUGAUUGGGCGUAAAGCGUCCGCAGGUGGCGAUGUAAGUCUGCUGUUAAAGAGUGAGGCUCAACCUCAUAAGAGCAGUGGAAACUACAUAGCUAGAGUGCGUUCGGGGCAGAGGGAAUUCCUGGUGUAGCGGUGAAAUGCGUAGAGAUCAGGAAGAACACCGGUGGCGA